GCAGCUCAGUGGUAGAACCUUCUGCCUUGUAUGCAAAAGGUUCCAGGUUCAAUUCCCAGCUAGGGCU